UCUGGAAUGAAACUAAACAUUUAGCCAGCGAAUGUUGCUAGCUGUAGUCGAAAACACCGUUAUUAGAUGUGUACGCGCUGUUUUGCCCCGCUGCUCUCCUGAAAUUUUAAAAUCUGACGUAACUCAGUGAAUUAGCUUUGGGGUUAUUUCGACCAAACUCGAUGUCGAUGAUUGUUGGAACCGUGGAAAGACGAACCGAAACGGGUUUGGUGAGUUUUAAUUCGUUUCUGUCGAGUUUGAACGAAGUUUGUUUUACUAAUGAGCGCGAGGUUGGAAUCUGCUGGGAGAUCGAUAGACGGCCGUUUGUGUUUAAACAAAAAGGAUCUUGCGAUUAAAAAAAAGUCUAUUCCUGUGGGGAUCCUUUCCAUAAUGUUGUCCGAUCUGAGCCUGUCAGUGAGAAAAACAAGCACUUUUAUAGUCGUACACUGACGGUGCACUAAAGCUCAAACGUAGUUAUAUUUGCAGUCCGCUGACGGCUGCAGCGGCCGCGGUCAUCACAGUUAGUGCUUAGGCACAAAAACAUGGAAAAGACGGCCCAGAUCAAAAAUACUUAAGUUUCACUUGAAACGUACUAUAAAUGGGUGGUUUGGGGUCAGAGAGAUUGGCUAUUGUUAACUUGAUCAGAUUAUUACUGCAUCUGUUUGGGCAAGAAGACCCUGUUCUGUAGCAUAGUGACUGUAAUGACAAUAAACGAUUAUGAUAAUAAAAAAAAAAUAUGAAUUGGGGUGUAAAUUACUUUUAUCACCGUUAAUAAUGCAUGCCAUGGCAAAAUAUUCAGCAAGGUCUAGGAUAAUAUUUUACUAACCUAGAUGUAUUAUUGAAGUAGACCUAUAUGAAAUGCAAGUGGCAACAGUGUAUGUGUUAGCCUAUCCCCAACAAAGCAACAUCAAUGAAUAAACAUUUAUUUUGAUUUCUUCCAGCAGUGUGGUCCACUUGUCUUUGCAUCCUGGGAAGUGCAUUGCUGUCACAAGGAAGCGUAUGAGUAUUUUUUUUGGCAUUGAAGGGAAGAAAUGUACUGCCCGACAGGGAGUGAGCAGAAGAUCAGCACGGUGGUGCAGAGUGAUGGCCAUCAACCCACAUGUCAACAGCUUUGUUCGGUCCUUUGUGUUUAAAUGGAAGACUUCACACUGAGGGACUGUGGCCUGUUUGCAGCCAUCCACGUGCCCUUCAGUUAGGGGUGAAUCUUGUGGGACACUUGUUGUUUUUGCUCACUUUUUAAGAUAAAUCAAAUUGCUGAUGCACUGUACCAGGGCCGUUGCUGAUGGGGCGAAAGAUGGUGACAAUUCUGAAAUGUUUUGAAAUGUUGAAAUAUAUUGAUUGAAUAAAAAUACAUUUUUUAAAUUUA